rnacentral:rRNA from 1 species
UUAAGCGACUAAGCGUACACGGUGGAUGCCCUGGCAGUCAGAGGCGAUGAAGGACGUGCUAAUCUGCGAAAAGCGUCGGUAAGGUGAUAUGAACCGUUAUAACCGGCGAUGUCCGAAUGGGGAAACCCAGUGUGAUUCGUCACACUAUCGUUAACUGAAUACAUAGGUUAACGAGGCGAACCGGGGGAACUGAAACAUCUAAGUACCCCGAGGAAAAGAAAUCAACCGAGAUUCCCCCAGUAGCGGCGAGCGAACGGGGAGCAGCCCAGAGUCUGAAUCAGCUUGUGUGUUAGUGGAACGGUCUGGAAAGUCCGACGGUACAGGGUGAUAGUCCCGUACACCAAAAUGCACAGGUUGUGAACUCGAAGAGUAGGGCGGGACACGUGGUAUCCUGUCUGAAUAUGGGGGGACCAUCCUCCAAGGCUAAAUACUCCUGACUGACCGAUAGUGAACCAGUACCGUGAGGGAAAGGCGAAAAGAACCCCGGCGAGGGGAGUGAAAAAGAACCUGAAACCGUGUACGUACAAGCAGUGGGAGCACCUUCGGGUGUGACUGCGUACCUUUUGUAUAAUGGGUCAGCGACUUAUAUUCUGUAGCAAGGUUAACCGUAUAGGGGAGCCGCAGGGAAACCGAGUCUUAACUGGGCGUUAAGUUGCAGGGUAUAGACCCGAAACCCGGUGAUCUAGCCAUGGGCAGGUUGAAGGUUGGGUAACACUAACUGGAGGACCGAACCGACUAAUGUUGAAAAAUUAGCGGAUGACUUGUGGCUGGGGGUGAAAGGCCAAUCAAACCGGGAGAUAGCUGGUUCUCCCCGAAAGCUAUUUAGGUAGCGCCUCGUGAACUCAUCUUCGGGGGUAGAGCACUGUUUCGGCUAGGGGGUCAUCCCGACUUACCAACCCGAUGCAAACUACGAAUACCGAAGAAUGUUAUCACGGGAGACACACGGCGGGUGCUAACGUCCGUCGUGAAGAGGGAAACAACCCAGACCGCCAGCUAAGGUCCCAAAGUCAUGGUUAAGUGGGAAACGAUGUGGGAAGGCACAGACAGCCAGGAUGUUGGCUUAGAAGCAGCCAUCAUUUAAAGAAAGCGUAAUAGCUCACUGGUCGAGUCGGCCUGCGCGGAAGAUGUAACGGGGCUAAACCAUGCACCGAAGCUGCGGCAGCGACACUAUGUGUUGUUGGGUAGGGGAGCGUUCUGUAAGCCUGCGAAGGUGACCUGUGAGGGUUGCUGGAGGUAUCAGAAGUGCGAAUGCUGACAUAAGUAACGAUAAAGCGGGUGAAAAGCCCGCUCGCCGGAAGACCAAGGGUUCCUGUCCAACGUUAAUCGGGGCAGGGUGAGUCGACCCCUAAGGCGAGGCCGAAAGGCGUAGUCGAUGGGAAACAGGUUAAUAUUCCUGUACUUGGUGUUACUGCGAAGGGGGGACGGAGAAGGCUAUGUUAGCCGGGCGACGGUUGUCCCGGUUUAAGCAUGUAGGCUGGUUGUCCAGGCAAAUCCGGAUAAUCAAGGCUGAGGUGUGAUGACGAGGCACUACGGUGCUGAAGUAACAAAUGCCCUGCUUCCAGGAAAAGCCUCUAAGCAUCAGGUAACAUUAAAUCGUACCCCAAACCGACACAGGUGGUCAGGUAGAGAAUACCAAGGCGCUUGAGAGAACUCGGGUGAAGGAACUAGGCAAAAUGGUGCCGUAACUUCGGGAGAAGGCACGCUGGUGUGUAGGUGAAGUCCCUGCGGAUGGAGCUGAGACCAGUCGAAGAUACCAGCUGGCUGCAACUGUUUAUUAAAAACACAGCACUGUGCAAACACGAAAGUGGACGUAUACGGUGUGACGCCUGCCCGGUGCCGGAAGGUUAAUUGAUGGGGUUAUCCGUAAGGAGAAGCUCUUGAUCGAAGCCCCGGUAAACGGCGGCCGUAACUAUAACGGUCCUAAGGUAGCGAAAUUCCUUGUCGGGUAAGUUCCGACCUGCACGAAUGGCGUAAUGAUGGCCAGGCUGUCUCCACCCGAGACUCAGUGAAAUUGAACUCGCUGUGAAGAUGCAGUGUACCCGCGGCAAGACGGAAAGACCCCGUGAACCUUUACUAUAGCUUGACACUGAACAUUGAGCCUUGAUGUGUAGGAUAGGUGGGAGGCUUUGAAGCGUGGACGCCAGUCUGCGUGGAGCCAACCUUGAAAUACCACCCUUUAAUGUUUGAUGUUCUAACGUUGGCCCCUGACCGGGGUUGCGGACAGUGUCUGGUGGGUAGUUUGACUGGGGCGGUCUCCUCCCAAAGCGUAACGGAGGAGCACGAAGGUUAGCUAAUCCUGGUCGGACAUCAGGAGGUUAGUGCAAUGGCAUAAGCUAGCUUGACUGCGAGCGUGACGGCGCGAGCAGGUGCGAAAGCAGGUCAUAGUGAUCCGGUGGUUCUGAAUGGAAGGGCCAUCGCUCAACGGAUAAAAGGUACUCCGGGGAUAACAGGCUGAUACCGCCCAAGAGUUCAUAUCGACGGCGGUGUUUGGCACCUCGAUGUCGGCUCAUCACAUCCUGGGGCUGAAGUAGGUCCCAAGGGUAUGGCUGUUCGCCAUUUAAAGUGGUACGCGAGCUGGGUUUAGAACGUCGUGAGACAGUUCGGUCCCUAUCUGCCGUGGGCGCUGGAGAAUUGAGGGGGGCUGCUCCUAGUACGAGAGGACCGGAGUGGACGCAUCACUGGUGUUCGGGUUGUCAUGCCAAUGGCACUGCCCGGUAGCUAAAUGCGGAAGAGAUAAGUGCUGAAAGCAUCUAAGCACGAAACUUGCCCCGAGAUGAGUUCUCCCUGAGACUUUAAGUCUCCUGAAGGAACGUUAAAGACGAUGACGUUGAUAGGCCGGGUGUGUAAGCGCAGCGAUGCGUUGAGCUAACCGGUACUAAUGAACCGUGAGGCUUAACCUU